AAGAUUGGAUAAAGGCAUGCUGGUGGUAGAUAGCUCCGUGUUUCCUGGGAAGGACAUCUACCAAGCAGACCCACCUAGGAUAAGGGGACAGAGGGAAAACCCAACAAGCCCAGAGUGAACAAAGAAAAACAUAACUGCCCUGUGACCUUCUGCCAUGAUGUCUGAGGCCCUCAUCUGAAAAUUGUUAGUUGUUCAUCUCUGGCAUGUUACUUUUAAAAUUCAGUGAU